rnacentral:rRNA from 1 species
GAUCCACCUCUUCCCAUCCCGAACAGAGAAGUUAAGCCCGCAAGCGCCGAUGGUACUGCACUACAAUGUGGGAGAGUAGGUUGCCGCCACUU